UUCGUCCUCCAUCCCGACACCGUCCCGAGAGUUCCCAACGAGAGAGGAUCGAUUGGUAGAGCUAGCUCGAUCAAGGUGUAUCAGUGACAAGGACCACGCUGGAGAAGCAGGGCACGUGCAUGCGCAUACCAUAUAGCUAGACGAUGUUCUCUCUCGCUCCGCUCGACCAAGCUUCAUGUAUGGAUGGGUACGCAC
rnacentral:precursor_RNA from 1 species